AGGGGAGCAAGGGGCUCGCUGCUUCGGGAAGGGGGGUCCCACCUGUUAUGCCGUUGGGGGUCAUCGAGGGGCUGAAGGGAAUCCCAAAGCCGCUGACUCUUGGCCCGCUGCGAUCAGGCCAGGAGGUACCAACUGUCACUCUGCCGCCCAGGGUUGUGGGGGUGGGGCUGCGAUUUGGGGGGAUCCACUUCUAAGCACUACGGGACCUCUGGCUGGCUUCUGCCUGAAAGGUCCUCAGCCCCGGGCUCUCCGGCUCCGCCACCGUCCACUCGCCCCAAUGUGACACCAGGCAGCCUUCCAGCCCGCACGCAGCACCUCGGAAAGGUGCCCACUGACGCCUCCGCCUUCCUCCCCGCCCAAGUUGGCGGGGGAGCCCCGCCGGCGGCCCGCCCCCUCGGAGCCGGGAUCGCGGCCGC
rnacentral:lncRNA from 1 species